GAUUUGCAGGACUACUUAUUUCACGCAGUCACAGCCCUGGCAGUUCUGGUUUCACACAGAUGGGCAAUUGCAUUACCUUCUGCAUGUCUCAACAGAAGAUAAUAAUGAAAAAUUGAAAGAAGAGCACAGAAUUGAACUGUAAACACUUAUUGUGACGUGCCAAAUUCCCAACAUCGACAUCUUUCCUAUGCAGAGUUUAUGAUGAAGUAACAUUUUUCAUCUUAUUUUGUUAGUGCAGCAGCUGUGGUUCUUUGUAACAUUAAGUCAAUUAUCACAAUCAACCAGACAGCAGCUACGUUUUUUGCAGUAUGGUUCACCUCCCACAAGUAAUGAACAACUUUUACAGGUUUUAGUAGAGCUGCAGUCAGCCAAUUCGAAAUGGAUGUAUAGACAGUUGAACAUACCAUUUUCAGGUGAAAUGCAUUCCCUUUUGAUUGAA